CAAGACUAUGUUAGUCGCCGGCGCUGUAAAAUCGCAUCUUCGAUUGCCAAGGAGAUAAUGCUGGCUUGAUGCACAUUUUUUUAGUUAUUAAUCACGACGAAACAAGAAGAAGAAGAUAACACACCAACCAAAUCCACAAUCAUCAACACUUAUUGCAACAGUUUCUCGUCGCUAAUCACUCAGCAGUAGAAUGGUGAGUGCAAGUACUCAAGAUUGUUGCUUUCUGCUUUGCUUGAUUACACUACAAGUCAUAGGAAGGGCUUAUGGAAACAUUUUGAAUGUUGGUGAGGAACUAAAGAAGGAAACUAUGCCGUUACAAAGUGGGUCCCGAAUCUACCAACUUCAAGGGCUAAGACCAAAGACGUGGUAUGAAGUCAAGAUAUCAUAUCCUGCUUCUGUAGAUACCCGCUAGCUUUUCGUUAGAACUGAAGAGAGGAGAAUCAGAAUUAUUGCUAAAGCACCAUAGGAAAUUACUGAAUACCGAAAAGUUGAUCUUUAAGAAUGAUGAUGCCGACUUGCAAAAUGACCAGAGUGAAACGUUCGUCGUGUUGACUGUUGAACCAGAAGGGGUGGUUGCAAUACCUAAUGGAAAGGAGAGGGAAACAGUCAUUUAUAACAUAGUUUGUGAUGAACUAAUGUUAGGGAUACCGCACGAAGCCUGGUGGGUUGUGAUCCUGGCUGUUGUUUGCUUGGGUGUGGCAUUUGUGAUCCCUUCAUUUCUACCAUCAGUUGAGUUGUUAAGUACAGACAUAACACGCCGUAGGGGAGCCACUUCCAAGAAUUCGUAACUUGAUGAUCAUGUCGAGUUGUUGAACUUUUUCAUAUAAUUAGUUAAGAAGAAAGCAUUACAUUUUUUCACAUUUUGAGCGUUUUGUCGUUGUACAAUCAUAGCAAAAUUUAUUUUAUACCGGUAUUUGUUAGAUAUUUUAGUGUAAUAAUAAGCAUACAUCUUGUAGGCU